CCCCUCGAGCCAGCACGUAGUAGCGGGCGCCCUUGAAGAGGACAAGGCGGCGCAGAGGCGAGAAGAAGAGAGCUGCGUCCGGGUGACGGGGCAGACCUCUAGCACGGCACAGCUAAACACAAUGGGAUGGACAGCAUGCUGACACCUGGGACACCUUGACCCCAGAGCUGACUGUGGAUGAAUACGGUCAUUCAGAACAGGGCAGUCAGGAGGGAUGGACAAGUGAAUGCAGCAGGAACGGCCUAGCACAUGCUUGGGAACAGCCACCCUGCAGCUGCCCACAAGUUCCUUAGCCAUCAACUAAGAAAUGAAAGCAAAUUCUGGAUAUUCAAUCAUGUGUUCAGUGAGUGAGGUGCUAUGAACAAAAUAAAACUCAUCGACAGAUCACAUCUUGGUUGAAUAAGUGUUAUGAAAAGUCUCAAUUCUUAUGGAAAUAACUUCAAUAAAAUAUGAACAAGAACCAUUGA